rnacentral:rRNA from 1 species
GACGAACGCUGGCGGCGUGCUUAACACAUGCAAGUCGAACGGAAAGGCCCUGCUUUUGUGGGGUGCUCGAGUGGCGAACGGGUGAGUAACACGUGAGUAACCUGCCCUUGACUUUGGGAUAACUUCAGGAAACUGGGGCUCAUACCGGAUAGGAGCUCCUGCUGCAUGGGGGGGGUUGGAAAGUUUCGGCGGUUGGGGAUGGACUCGCGGCUUAUCAGCUUGUUGGUGGGGUAGUGGCUUACCAAGGCUUUGACGGGUAGCCGGCCUGAGAGGGUGACCGGCCACAUGGGGACUGAGAGACGGACCAGACUGCUACGGGAGGCAGCAGUGGGGAAUAUUGCACAAUGGGCGGAAGCCUGAUGCAGCAACGCCGCGUGCGGGAUGACGGCUUUCGGGUGGUAAACCGCUUUCGCCGGUGACGAAGCGUGAGUGACGGUAAUGGGUAAAGAAGCACCGGCUAACUACGUG